GAUGAACGCUGGCGGCGUGCUUAACACAUGCAAGUCGAGCGGGGGAAGGUAGCUUGCUACCGGACCUAGCGGCGGACGGGUGAGUAAUGCUUAGGAAUCUGCCUAUUAGUGGGGGACAACGUUCCGAAAGGGAUGCUAAUACCGCAUACGCCCUACGGGGGAAAGCAGGGGAUCUUCGGACCUUGCGCUAAUCGAUGAGCCUAAGUCGGAUUAGCUAGUUGGUGGGGUAAAGGCCUACCAAGGCGACGAUCUGUAGCGGGUCUGAGAGGAUGAUCCGCCACACUGGGACUGAGACACGGCCCAGACUCCUACGGGAGGCAGCAGUGGGGAAUAUUGGACAAUGGGCGGAAGCCUGAUCCAGCCAUGCCGCGUGUGUGAAGAAGGCCUUUUGGUUGUAAGGCACUUUAAGCGAGGAGGAGGCUACUAGUAUUAAUACUACUGGAUAGUGGACGUUACUCGCAGAAUAAGCACCGGCUAACUCUGUGCCAGCCGCCGCCGUAA
rnacentral:rRNA from 1 species